UCUUCUCUGAGCACUGAGCUCCACCACUUCCGGCUGAUCCACCUCCACUCUCCUUCCGGCAUCGAUUGAUUAACCAUCCCGGCUAACUCGGGUCGUCGCUCUUCACUACGUUGCAGAUGCGCGACUUAGCAACUCCAACUCAUCCUCACCUCAGUGUCGCUCUCUAGUCUCUCUCUCUCCACACAAUCGUUGACGUCGGCCGUCGCUCUCUACGCAAUCGUCGGUCGUCACUCUCCACUCAAUCGUCGCCCGUCGCUCUCCAGUUCGUCGGCUCUCUGCACCGUCAGCAACUUGGUUGUCCUCAGUCCUCUAGUCUUCUUUCCAUCCCUCGCGGCUCGAGUCUCUCUCUAUGGCCGUCGCUCAUGGCUCGCAUCUCUCCCUGACGAUAGGGGUGAGCAGAAUCCGGUUCAAACCGAAAAAACCGACCGAACCGAACCGAUUUGAAAUUUUGGUUCGGUUUUUUAUACAUUUCGGUUCGGUUCGGUUUUAAAUUUCAGAAAUUUUAGUUAUUUCGGUUCGGUUCGAUUUUGAUCAGAAAAAAACCCAAAAAACCGAACCGAACCGAUUAGGAAUAAUAAUAUGUUUUUUCAAUAAUAUAGAGAAAUUAAAUUAUAUUAAAAUUAAAAUAUUUUAAUUAAUUUUUAAAAUACUAAAAAUAAAGUGUAAAAAAUUAAAAAAAUAUUAAAAAUCGAAACCGAUCAAACCGAAUCGAACCGAAUCAGACCGGUUCGGUUCGAUUCGGUUUUUGACCAAAAUCGGUUCAGUUCGGUUUUCAUAAAAACUAAAAUUUCGGUUUUCUGUUUAUUCGGUUCGGUUCGGUUUUGAACCGAACCGACCGAAUGCUCACCCCUACCUGACGACCAUCGCUCGCGGCUCGCAUUUCUC
rnacentral:lncRNA from 1 species